CCUACGGGUGGCUGCAGUAAGGAAUAUUGGUCAAUGGACGGAAGUCUGAACCAGCCAUCCCGCGUGCAGGAAGAAGGUCCUAUGGAUUGUAAACUGCUUUUAGCAGAGACGAAACGCCUUCAUUUAUGGGGGUUUGACGGUAUCUGCGGAAUAAGCACCGGCUAACUCCGUGCCAGCAGCCGCGGUAAUACGGAGGGUGCCAGAAUUAUUCGGAAUCACUGGUGUGAAGGGGUGCGUAGGAGGGGGUGUAGAAAGCCUGUAGCUUAUCUACAGAAUUGCCAUUGAUACUGAUUUUCUUGAAUUGGGUUGAGGUUAGCGGAAUGUGACAUGUAACGGUGAAAUGUUUAGAUAUGUCAUGGAACACCGAUUGCGAAGGCAGCUAGCUGGGCCUUGAUUGACGCUGAGGCACGAAAGCGUGGGUAGCGAACAGGAUUAGAUACCCUGGUAGUC
rnacentral:rRNA from 1 species